rnacentral:rRNA from 1 species
CUUUCUUUGCUGGCGACCGGCGCACGGGUGAGUAACACGUAUCCAACCUGCCCUUUACUCGGGGAUAGCCUUUCGAAAGAAGAUUAAUACCCGAUAGUAUAAUGAUUCCGCAUGGUUUCAUUAUUAAAGGAUUCCGGUAAAGGAUGGGGAUGCGUUCCAUUAGGUUGUUGGUGAGGUAACGGCUCACCAAGCCUUCGAUGGAUAGGGGUUCUGAGAGGAAGGUCCCCCACAUUGGAACUGAGACACGGUCCAA